rnacentral:tRNA from 1 species
CCCCGUGUGGCUCAGUUGGUAGAACAUGGUGCUUAAAAUGCCAGGGUUGUCGGUUCAAUUCCCACGGGGA